AGCUACAGUACCUGAGUUGUUUACAUACUCACAAAAACAAUUGCGACAUAGCCAGUAAAGUGGUCCCGCCUGGUCCAGGCUAACGCCGCCAUGCUAACCCUGCUAACUGGAGGACCAGGCAAGCGGGCCACGAGAGGGGGCUAUAAAUUUGGACGAGAGGACUGUGAGUUUGCAGUGGGGUUAGCGAUUGUUGCCGUAAUUCUAAGACAAUAAAGUGUGUAUUCCAGUCGGGUGGAAAAGG